rnacentral:rRNA from 1 species
UACGGAGGAUGCAAGUGUUAUCCGGAAUGAUUGGGCGUAAAGCGUCCGCAGGUGGCUGUGUAAGUCUGCUGUCAAAGAGCAAAGCUCAACUUUGUAAAGGCAGUGGAAACUACACGGCUAGAGUGCGUUCGGGGCAGAGGGAAUUCCUGGUGUAGCGGUGAAAUGCGUAGAGAUCAGGAAGAACACCGGUGGCGAAGGCGCUCUGCUAGGCCGCAACUGACACUGAGGGACGAAAGCUAGGGGAGCGAAUGGG